GACGAACGCUGGCGGCGUGCCUAAUACAUGCAAGUCGAGCGGGUUUGUUCCUUCGGGGACAAACUAGCGGCGGACGGGUGAGUAACACGUAGGCAACCUGCCCAUGGGAACGGGAUAACGUCGGGAAACCGAUGCUAAUCCCGGAUAGGAGAUGCUCUUGCAUCAGAGGAUCUGGAAAGACGGCGCAAGCUGUCACCGCUGGACGGGCCUGCGGCGGAUUAGCUAGUUGGUGGGGUAACGGCGCACCAAGGCGACGAUGCGUAGCCGACCUGAGAGGGUGAUCGGCCACACUGGGACUGAGACACGGCCCAGACUCCUACGGGAGGCAGCAGUAGGGAAUCUUCGGCAAUGGGCGAAAGCCUGACCGAGCAACGCCGCGUGAGUGAUGAAGGCUUUCGGGUCGUAAAACUCUGUUGCCAGAGAAGAACGCUGGGUAGAGUAACUGCUAUCCAGGUGACGGUAUCUGAGAAGAAAGCCCCGGCUAACUACGUGCCAGCAGCCGCCGCGGUAA
rnacentral:rRNA from 1 species